AGGCCCCGUUUUCUUCCACUGACUUAUUUUUAGCACCCGUCACAUCGAAUGUUUAGAUACUAAUUAGGAGUAUUAAACGUAGACUAUUUACAAAACCCAUUACAUAAGACGAAUCUAAACGGCGAGACGAAUCUAUUAAGCCUAAUUAGUCCAUGAUUUGACAAUGUGUUGCUACAGUAAACAUUUGCUAAUGAUGGAUUAAUUAGGCGUAAUUAGGCUUAAUAGAUUCGUCUCGCCAUUUAGAUUCGUCUUAUGUAAU
rnacentral:lncRNA from 1 species